rnacentral:rRNA from 1 species
CUGAGAAUUUGAUCUUGGUUCAGAUUGAACGCUGGCGGCGUGGAUGAGGCAUGCAAGUCGAACGGAAUAAUGACUUCGGUUGUUAUUUAGUGGCGGAAGGGUUAGUAAUACAUAGAUAAUCUGUCCUCAACUUGGGAAUAACGGUUGGAAACGACCGCUAAUACCGAAUGUGGUAUGUUUAGGCAUCUAAAACAUAUUAAAGAAGGGGAUCUUCGGACCUUUCGGUUGAGGGAGAGUCUAUGGGAUAUCAGCUUGUUGGUGGGGUAAUGGCCUACCAAGGCUUUGACGUCUAGGCGGAUUGAGAGAUUGACCGCCAACACUGGGACUGAGACACUGCCCAGACUUCUACGGAAGGCUGCAGUCGAGAAUCUUUCGCAAUGGACGAAAGUCUGACGAAGCGACGCCGCGUGUGUGAUGAAGGCUCUAGGGUUGUAAAGCACUUUCGCUUGGGAAUAAGAGAGAUUGGCUAAUAUCCAAUCGAUUUGAGCGUACCAGGUAAAGAAGCACCGGCUAACACCGUGCCAGCAGCUGCGGUAAUACGGAGGGUGCUAGCGUUAAUCGGAUUUAUUGGGCGUAAAGGGCGUGUAGGCGGAAAGGAAAGUUAGAUGUUAAAUCUUGGGGCUCAACCCCAAGCCAGCAUCUAAUACUAUCUUUCUAGAGGGUAGAUGGAGAAAAGGGAAUUCCACGUGUAGCGGUGAAAUGCGUAGAUAUGUGGAAGAACACCAGUGGCGAAGGCGCUUUUCUAAUUUACACCUGACGCUAAGGCGCGAAAGCAAGGGGAGCAAACAGGAUUAGAUACCCUGGUAGUCCUUGCCGUAAACGAUGCAUACUUGAUGUGGAUAGUCUCAACCCUAUCCGUGUCGUAGCUAACGCGUUAAGUAUGCCGCCUGAGGAGUACACUCGCAAGGGUGAAACUCAAAAGAAUUGACGGGGGCCCGCACAAGCAGUGGAGCAUGUGGUUUAAUUCGAUGCAACGCGAAGAACCUUACCUGGGCUUGACAUGUAUUUGACCGCGGCAGAAAUGUCGUUUUCCGCAAGGACAGAUACACAGGUGCUGCAUGGCUGUCGUCAGCUCGUGCCGUGAGGUGUUGGGUUAAGUCCCGCAACGAGCGCAACCCUUAUCGUUAGUUGCCAACACUUAGGGUGGGAACUCUAACGAGACUGCCUGGGUUAACCAGGAGGAAGGCGAGGAUGACGUCAAGUCAGCAUGGCCCUUAUGCCCAGGGCUACACACGUGCUACAAUGGCUAGUACAGAAGGUAGCAAUAUCGUGAGAUGGAGCAAAUCCUCAAAGCUAGCCCCAGUUCGGAUUGUAGUCUGCAACUCGACUACAUGAAGUCGGAAUUGCUAGUAAUGGCGUGUCAGCUAUAACGCCGUGAAUACGUUCCCGGGCCUUGUACACACCGCCCGUCACAUCAUGGGAGUUGGUUUUGCCUUAAGUCGUUGACUCAACCUGCAAAGGAGAGAGGCGCCCAAGGUGAGGCUGAUGACUGGGAUGAAGUCGUAACAAGGUAGCCCUACCGGAAGGUGGGGCUGGAUCACCUCCUUU